AAGUGGAGCAAUCCAUGAGUAAAGUGGCGACCGGGUGAGUAACACGUGACUAACCUACCUUCGAGUGGGGGAUAACCUCGGGAAACCGAGGCUAAUACCGCAUAAUAUCGCAAGAUCAAAGCAGCAAUGCGCUGGAAGAGGGGGUCGCGGCUGAUUAGCUAGUUGGCGGGGUAACGGCCUACCAAGGCGACGAUGGGUAGCUGGUCUGAGAGGACGAUCAGCCACACUGGGACUGAGACACGGCCCAGACUCCUACGGGAGGCAGCAGUGGGGAAUCUUGCGCAAUGGGCGAAAGCCUGACGCAGCAACGCCGCGUGAGGGACGAAGGCCUUCUGGG
rnacentral:rRNA from 1 species